rnacentral:rRNA from 1 species
AUGAACGCUGGCGGCGUGCCUAAUCCAUGCAAGUCGAGCGAACAGACGAGGAGCUUGCUCCUCUGACGUUAGCGGCGGACGGGUGAGUAACACGUGGAUAACCUACCUAUAAGACUGGGAUAACUUCGGGAAACCGGAGCUAAUACCGGAUAAUAUAUUGAACCGCAUGGUUCAAUAGUGAAAGACGGUUUUGCCGUCACUUAUAGAUGGAUCCGCGCCGCAUUAGCUAGUUGGUAAGGUAACGGCUUACCAAGGCAACGAUGCGUAGCCGACCUGAGAGGGUGAUCGGCCACACUGGAACUGAGACACGGUCCAGACUCCUACGGGAGGCAGCAGUAGGGAAUCUUCCGCAAUGGGCGAAAGCCUGACGGAGCAACGCCGCGUGAGUGAUGAAGGUCUUCGGAUCGUAAAACUCUGUUAUUAGGGAAGAACAAAUGUGUAAGUAACUAUGCACGUCUUGACGGUACCUAAUCAGAAAGCCACGGCUAACUACGUG